rnacentral:rRNA from 1 species
AACGAACGCUGGCGGCAUGCCUAACACAUGCAAGUCGAACGAGACCUUCGGGUCUAGUGGCGCACGGGUGCGUAACGCGUGGGAACCUGCCCUUAGGUUCGGAAUAACUCCCCGAAAGGGGUGCUAAUACCGGAUAAUGUCUUCGGACCAAAGAUUUAUCGCCUUUGGAUGGGCCCGCGUUGGAUUAGCGAGUUGGUAGGGUAAAAGCCUACCAAGGCGACGAUCCAUAGCUGGUCGGAGAGGAUGAUCAGCCACACUGGGACUGAGACACGGACCAGACUCCUACGCGAGGCAGCAGUGGGGAAUAUAGGACAAUGGGCGAAGGCCUGAUCCAGCAGUGCCGCGUGAGUGAUGAAGGCCUUAGGGUUGUAAAGCUCUUUUACCCGGGGUGAUAAUGACAGUACCGGGAGAAUAAGCACCGGCUAACUCCGUG